UACAGAGGGUGCGAGCGUUAAUCGGAAUUACUGGGCGUAAAGGGUGCGUAGGUGGUUAUUUAAGUCAGAUGUGAAAUCCCUGGGCUUAACCUAGGAACUGCAUUUGAUACUGGAUAGCUAGAGUUCGAGAGAGGGAAGUGGAAUUUCCGGUGUAGCGGUGAAAUGCGUAGAUAUCGGAAGGAACAUCAGUGGCGAAGGCGACUUCCUGGCUCGAUACUGACACUGAGGCACGAAAGCGUGGGGAGCAAACAGG
rnacentral:rRNA from 1 species